rnacentral:tRNA from 1 species
GCUCAGUUGGUUAAGCAGUUGGUUAAGCGUCUAACUUCAGCUCAGGUCAUUAUCUUGCAAUUUGUGGGUUUGAGCCCCACACUGGGCU